rnacentral:rRNA from 1 species
GAUGAACGCUGGCGGCGUGCCUAAUACAUGCAAGUCGAGCGAACAGACGAGGAGCUUGCUCCUCUGACGUUAGCGGCGGACGGGUGAGUAACACGUGGAUAACCUACCUAUAAGACUGGGAUAACUUCGGGAAACCGGAGCUAAUACCGGAUAAUAUAUUGAACCGCAUGGUUCAAUAGUGAAAGACGGUUUUGCUGUCACUUAUAGAUGGAUCCGCGCCGCAUUAGCUAGUUGGUAAGGUAACGGCUUACCAAGGCAACGAUGCGUAGCCGACCUGAGAGGGUGAUCUGCCACACUGGAACUGAGACACGGUUCAGACUCCUACGGGAGGCAGCAGUAGGGAAUCUUCCGCAAUGGGCGAAAGCUUGACGGAGCAACGCCGCGUGAGUGAUGAAGGUCUUCGGAUCGUAAAACUCUGUUAUUAGGGAAGAACAAAUGUGUAAGUAACUAUGCACGUCUUGACGGUACCUAAUCAGAAAGCCACGGCUAACUACGUG